rnacentral:rRNA from 1 species
UGGGGAAUAUUGCACAAUGGACGGAAGUUUGAUGCAGCGACGCCGCGUGGAGGGUGUAGGCCUUCGGGUUGUGAACUCCUUUUUCUCGCGAAAAAGGCACAGUUUUGGCUGUGUUGAUGGUAGUGGGGGAAGAAGCGCCGGCUAAAUACGUGCCAGCAGCCGCGGUAAUACGUAUGGGGCAAGCGUUGUCCGGAGUUAUUGGGCGUAAAGGGUACGUAGGCGGUUUAAUAAGUCCUAAUUAAAAGGCUAUGGCUCAACCAUAGUAUGGUUAGGAAACUGUUGGACUUGGGUAGAUGAGGGGAAAGUGGAAUUCCAUGUGUAGCGGUGAAAUGCGUAGAUAUAUGGAGGAACACCAAUGGCGAAGGCAACUUUCUGGAAUCAAACUGACGCUGAGGUACGAAGGCGUGGGGAGCAAACAGG